CGGGCAGGCUGGAUGGUCGCCCCUCGACUCCGCCGCAAGCGGCGUCGCUCGGGGAGGAAAGUCCGGACUCCAUAGAGCAGCGUGGUUGCUAACGGCAACUGGGAAUAAAAGCCCAAGGAAAGUGGCACAGAAAAUACACGGCCCACUUCAACUCUAAAGGUUGGAAGGCAAAGGUGAAACUGGGAGGUAAGAGCUCCCACACGACAGCUAGGCAACUAGCGGUGCGCUAAACCCCACGCGGAGCAAGACCAAAUAGGGAAAGAGCUAGCUCGGCUCGUUAUAUCCCGAGUAGGUCGCAACGAGGCAAACAGCAAUGUUUACCCCAGAUAGAUGACUAUCUCCUCCGAAGUCCCGACGAUAGUCGGGACGAAGGAGGAACAGAAUCCGGCUUAUAGGCCUGCCCCUCUA
rnacentral:RNase_P_RNA from 1 species